rnacentral:rRNA from 1 species
GAUGAACGCUGGCGGCGUGCCUAAUACAUGCAAGUCGAGCGAACGGACGAGAAGCUUGCUUCUCUGAUGUUAGCGGCGGACGGGUGAGUAACACGUGGAUAACCUACCUAUAAGACUGGGAUAACUUCGGGAAACCGGAGCUAAUACCGGAUAAUAUUUUGAACCGCAUGGUUCAAAAGUGAAAGACGGUCUUGCUGUCACUUAUAGAUGGAUCCGCGCUGCAUUAGCUAGUUGGUAAGGUAACGGCUUACCAAGGCAACGAUGCAUAGCCGACCUGAGAGGGUGAUCGGCCACACCGGAACUGAGACACGGUCCAGACUCCUACGGGAGGCAGCAGUAGGGAAUCUUCCGCAAUGGGCGAAAGCCUGACGGAGCAACGCCGCGUGAGUGAUGAAGGUCUUCGGAUCGUAAAACUCUGUUAUUAGGGAAGAACAUAUGUGUAAGUAACUGUGCACAUCUUGACGGUACCUAAUCAGAAAGCCACGGCUAACUACGUGCCAGCAGCCGCGGUAAUACGUAGGUGGCAAGCGUUAUCCGGAAUUAUUGGGCGUAAAGCGCGCGUAGGCGGUUUUUUAAGUCUGAUGUGAAAGCCCACGGCUCAACCGUGGAGGGUCAUUGGAAACUGGAAAACUUGAGUGCAGAAGAGGAAAGUGGAAUUCCAUGUGUAGCGGUGAAAUGCGCAGAGAUAUGGAGGAACACCAGUGGCGAAGGCGACUUUCUGGUCUGUAACUGACGCUGAUGUGCGAAAGCGUGGGGAUCAAACAGGAUUAGAUACCCUGGUAGUCCACGCCGUAAACGAUGAGUGCUAAGUGUUAGGGGGUUUCCGCCCCUUAGUGCUGCAGCUAACGCAUUAAGCACUCCGCCUGGGGAGUACGACCGCAAGGUUGAAACUCAAAGGAAUUGACGGGGACCCGCACAAGCGGUGGAGCAUGUGGUUUAAUUCGAAGCAACGCGAAGAACCUUACCAAAUCUUGACAUCCUUUGACAACUCUAGAGAUAGAGCUUUCCCCUUCGGGGGACAAAGUGACAGGUGGUGCAUGGUUGUCGUCAGCUCGUGUCGUGAGAUGUUGGGUUAAGUCCCGCAACGAGCGCAACCCUUAAGCUUAGUUGCCAUCAUUAAGUUGGGCACUCUAAGUUGACUGCCGGUGACAAACCGGAGGAAGGUGGGGAUGACGUCAAAUCAUCAUGCCCCUUAUGAUUUGGGCUACACACGUGCUACAAUGGACAAUACAAAGGGCAGCGAAACCGUGAGGUCAAGCAAAUCCCAUAAAGUUGUUCUCAGUUCGGAUUGUAGUCUGCAACUCGACUACAUGAAGCUGGAAUCGCUAGUAAUCGUAGAUCAGCAUGCUACGGUGAAUACGUUCCCGGGUCU